rnacentral:lncRNA from 1 species
AACAAUAAAGUUGUGAACUAAAGAUAUCUCUUAUAGAUGUAGCUUCUAAGGAACUAAACCAUGUACAUAUUGUGUUUGUGAAUAUCUGAUUUUUUAUUGUUGUUUUAUAUUAUAAUUGUGUGAUUUUUUUUGUAAUAUACAUCAUUGUUUCAAAAUAUAAUUGAACUUUCUAUUAUUUAAGAUUACAUCACAACUUGCCAUAUUCUCACUUCUAUAAUACAAGAUUGUGUAAUUCUUCAUGUUAUUGGUAUUUUUGAAACUCAAGCUAUCUAGAAAUAAUAACAAACAUUGUAUGAUAUAUAAAACUGAAAUAAAAAGUCUGCUUUAAGAAAAAAAAUAUAUGCUUUUUGUUUAUUAGAAAAAAAAAAUAUAAG